GAUGAACGCUGGCGGCGUGCCUAAUACAUGCAAGUCGAGCGAACAGACGAGGAGCUUGCUCCUCUGACGUUAGCGGCGGACGGGUGAGUAACACGUGGAUAACCUACCUAUAAGACUGGGAUAACUUCGGGAAACCGGAGCUAAUACCGGAUAAUAUAUUGAACCGCAUAGUUCAAUAGUGAAAGACGGUUUUGCUGUCACUUAUAGAUGGAUCCGCGCCGCAUUAGCUAGUUGGUAAGGUAACGGCUUACCAAGGCAACGAUGCGUAGCCGACCUGAGAGGGUGAUCGGCCACACUAGAACUGAGACACGGUCCAGACUCCUACGGGAGGCAGCAGUAGGGAAUCUUCCGCAAUGGGCGAAAGCCUGACGGAGCAACGCCGCGUGAGUGAUGAAGGUCUUCGGAUCGUAAAACUCUGUUAUUAGGGAAGAACAAAUGUGUAAGUAACUAUGCACGUCUUGACGGUACCUAAUCAGAAAGCCACGGCUAACUACGUG
rnacentral:rRNA from 1 species